CUUUUAAUGCCACCGUCGGCGGUUGCAAGUCCGCAUAAAGGCAGAGCAGAAA
rnacentral:ribozyme from 2 species